UGUCGUCAGCUCGUGUCGUGAGAUGUUGGGUUAAGUCCCGCAACGAGCGCAACCCUCAUCCUUANUUNCUAUCAGGUAAUGCUGAGUACUUUAAGGAAACUGCCAGUGAUAAGCUGGAGGAAGGUGGGGAUGAUGUCAAGUCAUCAUGGCCUUUAUGGAGUGGGCUACACACGUGCUACAAUGGUGUCUACAAUGGGNUGCAAGGUGCGCAAGCCUAAGCUAAUCCCUAAAAGACAUCUCAGUUCGGAUUGUACUCUGCAACUCGAGUACAUGAAGUUGGAAUCGCUAGUAAUCGUGGAUCANCANGCCACGGUGAAUACGUUCUCGGGUCUUGUACACACUGCCCGUCACGCCAUGGGAAUUG
rnacentral:rRNA from 1 species